UAUUGAUGGAUAAUGGUUUCAAUGAGAUAUUGGUUUUUGGAUGAUUAAAAAGGAUGUUCGAAUAAAUUCAAAAGAUAACUUUAUUGAGUUGUUUUAGGGUUUCUUUUGAAAAAAAUAGAUUUUAAUGAUGAGGUAAAUAUUGGGUUAAAAUAGUUUUUCAAUCAGAAUUGGAUUUCAUAUCGGUUUCCUUAAAAUAAGCUUAGUUUUGACCUUUUUUGCAAAUUUGGGAAUCGCUUUGGCUGUUGCUGUUUUUGGAUGGUAUUUGAUGUUUAGAAGCUUAUUUAGUUUUAUUUGAUUAGUUUUAGGUGGAAGAAUGUUGUUUUAAGUUUUGGAAAGUUUCGGGUUAAAGAACGGUAAAAUUUUUUGUUGUAUCGACGUUCUUGCUCUGUUUUUGUAUAAUAUUUUCUGCUCUAUUUCGAGCACUUUGGUGACAUUCUUUAUGGUUUCUAAGGUGAUAUUUAGGUCUAUGAUGGAGUAAAAUUGGUGUGUUAUUGUUUGGUGUUUGUUUGACGUAAGUUUGAUUGAUUUUGAGUGGUAAAAACGGUAGAGAUGAGUGGAUAUUCAUUCUUUUAUAAAGAGCAUUGGUAAUGUUAAUUGAAGGUUGGUUCGUUAGUGUGGAAGCGUUGUCCGAUGGUGAUCAAAUAAGACUCGACUUUUAUAAGAGUAUGCAAACCAUGUGUUGAUUUGAGACAAUGUGGGAAUGAUAUGUUGGGAUUUUUGUUAAGUUUUGGUGUUGUUAAGUUUGUAAAUAUUAUGGUGAUUAAUUGACCUCUUGAAUUACUUGGUGGUAUGUCAUGAUGAUGAUGUUUUGAGUAUGUGUUAGUUAUUGAUUUCAUAUAGGUAGGAUGUGCAAACGUUGCUAUGAACUUAAAUACGUGUUUGAAUGGCCUGGACAAGUUAAGUUUACAUAAUAUGUUAGUGUCUUAGGAAGCAUGAAAUGAGAGUUUUUGUGUCUUUUGGUUAGGUGACUUAAGAAAAAGUAAGUUGUUUAUGUAAAAUUUGACUUUUAAUGCUAGAUUUCAUUACGAUGUGUUGACCAAUGUUUUGAAGCAUGCUACAAGUGUAUUAUGAUGUGUAUGAAGUGGUUUGAGCUUGUACAUGUAUGUAUUUAGAAACUAUGAGUGAUUAAGUGGAAGUUUACAAACUCAUUUUUGCAUGUUCAUAUGAAAUUUUGUAAUUUCCCAAAAAAAAUGAUCAAUCUCUCACCCCAGAGGAUCGAUCUCAAACAUACUGUAUUGCACAGGAUCGAUCCCUUACAAAACGGAUCGAUCCCUUUUCAAAACGGAUCGAUCCCUUCGCUGCGUGUUUAAGGAAAAA